rfam:Eimeria brunetti, Houghton, WGS project CBTX01000000 data, contig: Ebh_contig610_1
GGAGAGAUGACUGAGUGGUUUAAAGUAUCAAAUUGCUAAUUUGAUAUAUAUAUAAUAUAUAUAACAAGGGUUCGAAUCCCUUUCUCUCCU